UACAGAGGUCUCAAGCGUUUGUUCGGGAUUCAUUGGGCGUAAAGGGUGCGUAGGCGGCGCGGUAAGUCGGGUGUGAAAUCUUGGAGCUUAACUCCGAAACUGCAUUCGAUACUGCCGUGCUUGAGGACUGGAGAGGAGACUGGAAUUUACGGUGUAGCGGUGAAAUGCGUAGAUAUCGUAAGGAAGACCAGUGGCGAAGGCGGGUCUCUGGACAGUUCCUGACGCUGAAGCACGAAGGCCAGGGGAGCAAACGGG
rnacentral:rRNA from 1 species